rnacentral:miRNA from 1 species
CCUGGUUUGCCUGGGACUGAGGGGUUUCCCAGGAUUUGAGACUUUUGGUGCUAAAACUAGGACAGUU